CGCGGCCUAUCAGCUUGUUGGUGAGGUUAUGGCUUACCAAGGCGACGACGGGUAGCCGGCCUGAGAGGGUGUCCGGCCACACUGGGACUGAGAUACGGCCCAGACUCCUACGGGAGGCAGCAGUGGGGAAUAAUGCACAAUGGGCGCAAGCCUGAUGCAGCGACGCCGCGUGAGGGGUGACGGCCUUCGGGUUGUAAACCUCUUUCAGUACAGACGAAGCGUAAGUGACGGUAUGUACAGAAGAAGCACCGGCCAACUACGUGCCAGCAGCCGCGGUAAUACGUAGGGUGCGAGCGUUGUCCGGAAUUACUGGGCGUAAAGAGCUCGUAGGUGGUUUGUCGCGUUGUUCGUGAAAACCUGAGGCUUAACCUUGGGCGUGCGGGCGAUACGGGCAGACUGGAGUACUGCAGGGGAGGCUGGAAUUCCUGGUGUAGCGGUGGAAUGCGCAGAUAUCAGGAGGAACACCGGUGGCGAAGGCGGGUCUCUGGGCAGUAACUGACGCUGAGGAGCGAAAGCGUGGGGAGCGAACAGGAUUAGAUACCCUGGUAGUCCACGCCGUAAACGGUGGGUACUAGGUGUGGGUUUCCUUCCUUGGGAUCCGUGCCGUAGCUAACGCAUUAAGUACCCCGCCUGGGGAGUACGG
rnacentral:rRNA from 1 species